AACGAACGCUGGCGGCAUGCCUAACACAUGCAAGUCGAACGAGACCUUCGGGUCUAGUGGCGCACGGGUGCGUAACGCGUGGGAACCUGCCCUUAGGUUCGGAAUAACUCCCCGAAAGGGGUGCUAAUACCGGAUAAUGUCUUCGGACCAAAGAUUUGUCGCCUUUGGAUGGGCCCACGUUGGCUUAGCUAGUUGGUGGGGUAAAGGCCUACCAAGGCGACGAUGGGUAGCUGGUCUGAGAGGAUGACCGGCCACACUGGGACUGCGACACGGCCCAGACUCCGACGGGAGGCAGCAGGGGGGAAUAUGGCACAAGGGGCGGAAGCCGGAGGCAGCAACGCCUCGUGCGGGAGGACGGCCUUAGGGUUGUAAACCGCUGUCGCCUGUGACGAAGCGUGAGUGACGGUAAGGGGUAAAGAAGCACCGGCUAACUACGUG
rnacentral:rRNA from 1 species